GACGAACGCUGGCGGCGUGCUUAACACAUGCAAGUCGAACGGUGAAGCGCCUUCCUUUUUGGUGGGUGUGGAUGAGUGGCGAACGGGUGAGUAACACGUGAGUAACCUGCCCCCUUCUUCUGGAUAACCGCAUGAAAGUGUGGCUAAUACGGGAUAUUCUGGGUCUGUCGCAUGAUGGGUCUGGGAAAGAUAUUGUUUCGGUGGGGGAUGGGCUCGCGGCCUAUCAGCUUGUUGGUGGGGUGAUGGCCUACCAAGGCGGUGACGGGUAGCCGGCCUGAGAGGGUGGACGGUCACACUGGACUGAGACACGGCCCAGACUCCUACGGGAGGCAGCAGUGGGGAAUAGUGCACAAUGGGCGCAAGCCUGAUGCAGCGACGCCGCGUGAGGGAUGGAGGCCUUCGGGUUGUGAACCUCUUUCGCCAGUGAAGCAGGCCUGCCUCGUUUGUGGGUGGGUUGACGGUAGCUGGAUAAGAAGCGCCGGCUAACUACGUG
rnacentral:rRNA from 1 species